GUCUACAGACAUGCCAUCCUGAACAAGCCUGAUCCCGUCUGAACUCAGAAGCUAAGAAGGGUCGGCCCUGGUUAGUACUUGGAUGGGAGACCACCUAGGAAGAGCAGGUGCUGUAAAAA
rnacentral:rRNA from 1 species